rnacentral:rRNA from 1 species
AUUGAACGCUGGCGGCAGGCCUAACACAUGCAAGUCGAGCGGAUGAGGAGAGCUUGCUCUCUGAUUUAGCGGCGGACGGGUGAGUAAUGCCUAGGAAUCUGCCUGGUAGUGGGGGAUAACGUCCGGAAACGGGCGCUAAUACCGCAUACGUCCUACGGGAGAAAGCAGGGGACCUUCGGGCCUUGCGCUAUCAGAUGAGCCUAGGUCGGAUUAGCUAGUUGGUGAGGUAAUGGCUCACCAAGGCUACGAUCCGUAACUGGUCUGAGAGGAUGAUCAGUCACACUGGAACUGAGACACGGUCCAGACUCCUACGGGAGGCAGCAGUGGGGAAUAUUGGGCAAUGGGCGAAAGCCUGAUCCAGCCAUGCCGCGUGUGUGAAGAAGGUCAUCGGAUUGUAAAGCACUUUAAGUUGGGAGGAAGGGCAGUAAGUUAAUACCUUGCUGUUUUGACGUUACCGACAGAAUAAGCACCGGCUAACUUCGUGCCAGCCGCCGCGGUAAUAC